GAUGAAGAACGCAGCGAAAUGCGAUAAGUAAUGUGAAUUGCGGAAUUCCGUGAAUCAUCGAAUCUUUGAACGCACAUUGCGCCCCCUGGCAUUCCGGGGGGCAUGCCUGUCCGAGCGUCAUUUCUGCCCUCCAGCCCGGCUGGGUGUUGGGCGCUGUCCCCCCGGGGACACGCCCCAAAGGCAGUGGCGGCGCCGCGUCGGGUCCUCGAGCGUAUGGGGCUUUGUCACCCGCUCGGGACGGACUCGUCGGCGCUGGUCUUCCUCCAGGCGACCCUUCGGGGCUCGUCUUCCUUCGGUUGACCUCGGAUCAGGUAGGGUUACCCGCUGAACUUAAGCAUAUCAAUAAGCGGAGGA
rnacentral:misc_RNA from 1 species